UGAGAGCCUCUUGUUGAACC
rnacentral:piRNA from 1 species